rnacentral:rRNA from 1 species
GACGAACGCUGGCGGCGUGCCUAACACAUGCAAGUCGAGCGGAGACACUGAGGAGCUUGCUCCGAGGUGUUUUAGCGGCGGACGGGUGAGUAACGCGUGAGCAACCUUUCCUCUACUGGGGAAUAACACAUCGAAAGGUGUACUAAUACCGCAUGAGACCACAGCACUGCAUGGUGCAGGGGUCAAAGAUUUAUCGGUAGAGGGUGGGCUCGCGUCUGAUUAGAUAGUUGGUGGGGUAACGGCCUACCAAGUCGACGAUCAGUAGCCGACCUGAGAGGGUGAUCGGCCACAUUGGGACUGAGACACGGCCCAAACUCCUACGGGAGGCAGCAGUGGGGAAUAUUGGGCAAUGGGGGAAACCCUGACCCAGCAACGCCGCGUGAAGGAAGAAGGUCUUCGGAUCGUAAACUUCUGUUCUUGGUGAAGAGAAGAAGACGGUAGCCAAGGAGGAAGCCCCCGGCUAACUACGUG